rnacentral:rRNA from 1 species
UACAGAGGGGGCAAGCGUUGUUCGGAAUUACUGGGCGUAAAGGGCGCGUAGGCGGCUUGUUAAGUCGAACGUGAAAUCCCCGGGCUCAACCCGGGAACUGCGUCCGAUACUGUCAGGCUUGAAUCCGGGAGAGGGAUGCGGAAUUCCAGGUGUAGCGGUGAAAUGCGUAGAUAUCGUAAGGAAGACCAGUGGCGAAGGCGGCUUUCUGGGACGGAACUGACGCUGAGACGCGAAAGCGUGGGGAGCGAACAGG